rnacentral:lncRNA from 1 species
GGGGGGGGGGGUUCAUAUGGUGGGACACUUCAUGGUGGGACCAUAGGGGAUCCCCAUGGCCAUAGAUCGUAGCCCCCUCCCCAACGUGUGUGUUGUGCCCCCCCCACCCCCCAACCCCAUACAAAUGGACGGCGCCGAACGGAACAAAAACCACAUUAAAAAAAAAGAAAAAAAAAAAAGGAAAAAAACGAGAAAAUGACCAAAAAAAAAAAAGAACGGGAAAUGAAAUCGGAAAACCGACCGCGAACGGCGACGGCGAAAAGCGAAAAAAAGAGAGGAAAUGGGGGGAAAAAAAAGGGAAAAAAAGGGAAAAAAAACGGGAAAAAAGAAAAAAAGGGAAAAAAGGAAAACCCGAACGGAACCGAAUCGGAACGGGAGCGAAAAAAGGGAAUAAAAGCCCCAAAAUAAAGGGGGAAACGGCG